CUCUUCCUCGCUCUCUAUUUUCCCUCUUUUCCGCCCGUUUUUCAGACCCAUUUUUUUCUCGCUCCUCUUUUUGCCCUUUUUCUCCUCAUUUAGGGGGAGGUCCUCGUCCGAGUCGCUGGGGGGGGGCUCUUCCUCCUCCUCUUCCUCCUCUUCCUCACUCUCCGUUUUCCCCCUUUUCCGCCCAUUUUUCACACCCGUUUUUUUCUCAGUCUCUUUCCUCUUUUUGCCCUUUUUCUCCUCGUUUUUGGGGGGCGGCUUCUUCCUCUUUUCUUCCUCUUCUUCCUCCUCCUCCUCUUCCUCCUCCUCUUCCUCGCUCUCUAUUUUCCCUCUUUUCCGCCCGUUUUUCAGACCCAUUUUUUUCUCGCUCCUCUUUUUGCCCUUUUUCUCCUCAUUUUCGGAAGUUGGUUUCUUCUUCUCUUCUUCUUCCUCCUCCUCCUCUUCAUCUUCUUCAUCCUCUUCCUCGCUGUCCAUUUUCACUCCUUUGGCCCCAUUUUUCACAGGUUGUUUCUUCUCGCUCUCACUCCUCUUUUUGCCCGUUUCCACCCCAUUUUUAGGGGACCGUUUCUUCCUCUUUUCCUCUUCUUCCUCCUCCUCCUCCUCCUCUUCCUCACUCUCCGUUUCGACCCUUUUCCGCCCAUUUCUCACAGCCUGUUUUUUCUCACUCUCGCUCCUCUUUUUGCCUGUUUUCACCCCAUUUUGGGGGGGUGACUUCUUCCUCUUUUCCUCUUCUUCCUCCUCCUCUUCCUCACUCUCCGUUUCGACCUUUUUCCGCCCAUUUUUCACGGGCCGUUUUUUCUCACUCUCACUCCUCUUUUUCUCCUUUUUCUCCUCGUUUUUGGGGGGCGGCUUCUUCCUCUUGUCUUCCUCCUCUUCUUCAUCCUCCUCGUCUUCCUCUUCAUCUUCCUCACUCUCUGUUCCGACCCUUUUCCGCCCAUUUCUCACAGCCUGGUUUUUCUCGCUCUCGCCCCUCUUUUUGCCCGUUUUCACCCCAUUUUUGGGGGGCGGCUUCUUCCUCUUCUCCUCAUCAUCCUCCUCCUCUUCCUCACUCUCUGUUUCGACCCUUUUCCGCCCAUUUUUCACAGGCUGUUUUUUUUCACUCUCACUCAUCUUUUUGCCCCUUUUCUCCUCAUUUUGGGAGGGCGGCUUCUUCCUCUUCUCCUCUUCCUCCUCCUCUUCCUCACUCUCCAUUUUCACCCUUUUCGCCCCAUUUCUCACAGCCUGGUUUUUCUCACUCUCACUCCUCUUUUUGCCCGUUUUCACCCCAUUUUUGGAGGGCGGCUUCUUCCUCUUCUCCUCUUCCUCCUCCUCUUCCUCAUCAUCAUCUUCUUCCUCCUCGUUUUCCUCUUCCUCUUCGUCACUCUCUAUUUUUACCCUUUUCGCCCCAUUUCUCACAGGCUGUUUUUUCUCGCUCUCACUCAUCUUUUUGCCCGUUUUCACCCCAUUUUUGGAGAGCGGCUUCUUCCUCUUCUCCUCCUCUUGCUCCUCAUCCUUGUCCUCAUCAUCCUCCUCCUCUUCCUCUUCAUCUUUGUCUUCAUCACUCUCUAUUUUUACCCUUUUCGCCCCAUUUCUCACAGCCUGGUUUUUCUCACUCCUCUUUUUGCCCGUUUUCACCCCAUUUUUGGAGGGCGGCUUCUUCCUCUUCUCCUCCUCUUCCUCCUCAUCCUCGUCCUCAUCAUCCUCCUCCUCUUCUUCCUCUUCAUCUUUGUCUUCAUCACUCUCUAUUUUCACCCUUUUCGCCCCAUUUCUCACAGCCUGGGUUUUCUCGCUCUCACUCCUCUUUUUGCCCCUUUUCUCCUCAUUUUUGGAGGGCGGCUUCUUCCUCUCCUCCUCUUCCUCCUCCUCAUCUUCCUCCUCAUCUUCGUCCUCCUCCUCCUCUUCCUCACUCUCCAUUUUCACCCUUUUCCCCCCAUUUUUCACGGGCUGGUUUUUUUCACUCUUCUUCCUCGUUUCGCCCCUUUUCUCCUCAUUUUCGGGGGUCACCUCCUCCUCUCUCUCCUGCUCUUCCUCCUCCUCCUCCCCCUCGCUCCCUUUUUCCCCCUUUUUCCCCCCAUUUCGCAGGGGCGGGGCCUCCCCUUCCCCUUCCCUCCCCAUUCCGCCUCUUUUCGCCCCAAUUCCAGGGGGCGGGGCCUCCCCCUCCCCCCCGUUCCCGAUUUCCCCCUUUUCUGCCCCAAAUCCCGCCGUCGGGGCCUCCAUUUCGGGCUCCGUUUCCCCCUUUUUUCGCCCCAAAAAACGCGGGGGGGGCGGGACUUCCGCUUCGGGCCCGCCUCUUCCGGGUUACUGGCGGUCACGUGGGGGGCCCUUUGCUAUCCCACAAUCCCCCGCGCUCCCCGCCGCCCGCUGGGGGCCGCCAUUUUGUCGCCGCCGCCGUCUGCCGGGCGCCGCCAUUUUGUUUCCGUACAGGCGGCGGCGGGAGGAGGGGGGAGAGGGGGCGGCGCCCAGCGCGGCGCCAGCC
rnacentral:lncRNA from 1 species